GGAUGGAAAGGCAAUCUGGCUCUGACAUCAGCCCAUUGAUUGCCAAGUGUUGAUUGUACAGAUCUGGCUGGCUGGGUAGGUAUCUCUUUCCUUCCUCACCCGUCCAUGUGUAUCCUUCCUGAAGAAGCAUAAUCAUUGAAAGAGGAUGAACACUCCCAAUAGAGGAUGACCACCCCCAUAGAAGAGGACAGUUUCCUUCUCAAGGGUAUACAAGUAGCACUGCUCUCUGGCUAGAACCUGUAAAAGAAUAAUAAAAAUAUUAUGAACAACAUUUUGCCAGUAAAUUUGACAACCUAAGUAAACAUUGCUAAGUGACACAAACUAUCAAAGCUCACUCCAG
rnacentral:snRNA from 1 species